rnacentral:rRNA from 1 species
UUGGAGGGCAAGUCUGGUGCCAGCAGCCGCGGUAAUUCCAGCUCCAAUAGCGUAUAUUAAAGUUGUUGCAGUUAAAAAGCACGUAGUUGAAUUUCGGGAUCAAUGUUUCGGUCAUGCCGUUGGUAUGUACUGAUAUUAUUGAUUUCUCACCUUCUAAAGAACCGUAAUGCCAUUAAUUUGGUGUCACGGGGAAUUAGGACUGUUACCUUGAAAAAAUUAGAGUGUUUAAAGCAGGCUCACGCUUGAAUACAUUAGCAUGGAAUAAUGAAAUAGGACAUCCGAUUCUAUUUUGUUGGUUUCUAGGAUCGAUGUAAUGAUUAAUAGGGAUAGUUGGGGGCAUUAGUAUUCAAUUGUCAGAGGUGAAAUUCUUGGAUUUAUUGAAGACUAACUACUGCGAAAGCAUUUGCCAAGGAUGUUUUCAUUAAUCAAGAACGAAAGUUAGGGGAUCGAAGACGAUCAGAUACCGUCGUAGUCUUAACCAUAAACUAUGCCGACUAGGGAUCGGAUGAUGUUAAUUUUUUAAUGACUCAUUCGGCGCCUUACGGGAAAC